CUCCUGUCAAAAGCGAUCACAAACUGGGCACAUGCUCCUGUCAUAUGAACCAUAUGCCAUACUCACUAGACGACCAUAGUCAGGAUUAGGCUGUGACCUUCAUUACAAACAGCAAUAUGAACUUCCAUCCCUUCCACGGUCACCCUGUCAAGGAUUGGUGCUGACUCACAUUAAAAAAGAUAUAAAAAAGAUUCCAUACGGACUAGCAUUCUAGAAACUAACUAGUCAAGGAUCACAUAUAUUGUUGUAAAGGCAUUCCAUACUAUUAAGAUGGACCAAAUUCAUGCAGAUACAACAUGUCUCACUAGUUCAAAGCGGAGCCACAGAAAGCUUACCAUUGCGCAAUGGAUUUAUCAACAAAAGGGCCAGGUAGGUGGCGAGACCAACACAUAUUAUCCAUCCCUGGGUCCUCCAGCUUCCAACGUGUUGCCUCCCCCUUGCCCUUCCUUCAAGAAAAAUAACUUCCUUCAAGAAAAACAACACAUGGUCAGCGUUGUCCUAAUAUAGCAAUCAAGAGUGCUCUAACUUUUGACAUGGUUAGCUUCUAUUUUUCUAGACAUUUGGAUCAACAUACAUCCAAAACUAGCUAAAUAUGAGCACAAGCUUGACUCGUGUGACCAACAAUUUAUUGGUGAAAAUCAUUAAUCAGGAACUAAAUAUAACAUUUCGACAAUCAACAAAUGUUUGGUAAAAUGACAACUUAAGAACAAAAUAGGCAUUCAAGCAGGAGUGCCCACACAUCCAAUCAUCAAUCAUAUAACCACUGAUAGCAAGCUAGUUCAGUUUCAGAAAUGUACCCCAUUCAUGAGACCAGCAGCAAAGAAGCAACCCAACCAACGAAGCACUUGAGAUAGCCUCGGUUCACCCCGGGCUGGAGAACUUGACGGGCAACACCAACCGUAAGUCUUCGCUCCAUUCGUGCUUGCACAGGUACGCCACCGCACUGCCGGACUCGCAUAUACCUGCCAACAUCACGAUACUAUAAGAUAAUUAUAAUCAGGAAAAGUCACAUUGAUUCAAGCAUAUUACUUGCUGGGGGUACCAUACAACAUCAUUAUGUGGCUACAAUUUUUUUGCUUUCUAUAUACCAUUUUCAUCAAUCUCAGAUUUAACAAAGCAAGAACUACAAAUGCAAUGUAGCCUCAAAUUUAACAGAGCAAGAACUACAAAUGCAACAUGGCCUCAAAAACUAAGUUUGACAUGUCAUUUUAAACAUGUGUCGACCUUUAUUUAUUUCUAUUCUUGGAUGAGAAGGCUAGGGCAAAGUUAGCUUUCUUGUCUGCGUAAGGAUGAGAAAUAAUAACUGUAGUGUUGCAACAUAAGGACAGUACAGAUACCAUAAUAAGUUUCAGGAACAUCACAUCUAGCACAGUUGCAGAGAUGGCACAAAAUUCUUCUAUGCAAUUUUCAACAUAUUUGUAAUAAUUUUCAUAAGCAAUGAAUCAUGAGAAACAAAUUAUGAGUUAUGAAGUGGUUUCAAACUAUAACAGUGAAGGACUAGACCCGCAAAACACAACGAUGUAUAGGCACUAAACGUACACAGCAAGUAAUAAGAACAGAGACCAUAAAUGAUACUGAUCAAGGAUAAAAACAAGUAGGUAUCAUAUAAUUCUCAUCACAAUCAUACAUUGAAUUCAUUAAAGGCUACAGAUAUAGAAGUAUCAUGCAACCAAAAGGGUUUAAGACCAUACACAAGGAUCAGUGUUAGCAGAAUUGAGAUAUAUUUGUACAGGGUAAUGAAAGGUGCCAAUCCAGUGCAAUAUAAUACAACAAAUAUGUCAAAGUUAUUUAGAUUUGCUAAUGUGUUUGUCACACUACCAAAAUUCAAGAUAAACCAUGACAGGGAAACGAGUGAAUUACAACAAAGGAGGCAUCUAAUUUGACUACCAGUACCACAAUCAUUGAGUGAAAGAAAACACCAGAGAAUUCAGAAAUUUUCUGAACUAAAUGCAAGCAAGUUUGCACAUGACAUAGCAAGUCUGCAGUCCGUAAUUAGAUUAGAUGUUCUAACUCAUGAGCUACAUACAUAGAGACCUACUAGAAUCUGCUUACGCUUAAACUAGAAAGAGAACAAAAAAACUGAACCUAACUAUGCAGCAGAGAGAGAUAGCAUGGGGGGACGACCUAUGGACCAAAUUGUCCUUCACCAGAUCGUUCAAGGGAGCACAACAACAGUAGCAGACCUUGCAUGUUGCUUCACACAACUAGAUCGGAGCAACCUGCAAAGGAACACACUAAUUAGAUGGGGAGAUGGAGAAGAAGAAGAUAAGAUAAGUGGAGGAGCAAGUGACGAACCUGAGAUGGUGUUGCUCCUCCUAGGUCGCCAUGGACAAUCUGAUCCCC
rnacentral:lncRNA from 1 species